CCUACGGGAGGCAGCAGUGAGGAAUAUUGGUCAAUGGACGAGAGUCUGAACCAGCCAAGUAGCGUGAAGGAUGACUGCCCUAUGGGUUGUAAACUUCUUUUAUAAAGGAAUAAAACGAGGCACGUGUGCCUUUUUGCAUGUACUUUAUGAAUAAGGAUCGGCUAACUCCGUGCCAGCAGCCGCGGUAAUACGGAGGAUCCGAGCGUUAUCCGGAUUUAUUGGGUUUAAAGGGAGCGUAGAGGGGUUGGUAAGUCAGUUGUUAAAGUUUGCGGCUCAACCGUAAAACUGCAAUUGAUACUGGCAGUCUUGAGUACAGUUGAGGUAGGCGGAAUUCGUGGUGUAGCGGUGAAAUGCUUAGAUAUCACGAAGAACCCCGAUUGCGAAGGCAGCUUACUAAACUGUGACUGACAUUGAUGCUCGAAAGUGUGGGUAUCAAACAGGAUUAGAUACCCCAGUAGUC
rnacentral:rRNA from 1 species